AAUGCAAUCAUCCAAUCGGAUUGCAUUCGAAGGUAAAUCCCGGCCAACGUGUUUCAUCAUGCGUCGAAGGUAAACCCAAAGCAUGUGAUCUGACUGACAACGGACAUUCCACAGUUUACACUUGCAAAGAAUAGACACUACGUUACUGUGCUCUUGUGAUUAAAACUAUUAUGCGGACAAUCAUGACUUUCCCUGAAAAAGAAGAAUUAAGCAUGCCAGAUUCAAAGGGGAAUUUUUGGUUCUGAAAGGGGAAAAAACCAGCCUAGUUUGAUGGGGGAAGACGCCGAUAUUCGGCGUCUGUUAUAUAAGAGUAGAGAAAUGUGUUGGAUCAUGCCUGACCAAAGUACUCGCCAGAGCGAAGAGACGAGGGCAG